rnacentral:lncRNA from 1 species
AAUAUCAUAAUUAUGAAAAAUGUUUCCUGAAUACAACAGCAGUUUUUCAACAGCUUUGUUUUCCUUUCCUUUCUAUUUGUAAGCGAGCUGUUCCUCCCCAACAUCGCUCUGCUGUCUGGGCCAAAACAACUCAUGCCAUCGUAACCCCUGCUUUUGUGACGAGUACUGCCUCACAAACAAAGACUGCUGUUCUGACUACAUUCAGACUUGUAGAUCACCCUUUUCACCUACUAAUACACCGCCAGGCACUUCUGCACUCACACCUGAAGAUGCCAUCUCAACAACUCCACCACUAACCAGCAGUCAGCUACCAACAUCCAGCACAGACCAUGAAACACCCGAGGAGCCCUCGGCUGUUAUGGAGAAGCCAAAAGAGAUCACUACACCGCCAGGCACUUCUGCACUCACACCUGAAGAUGCCAUCUCAACAACUCCACCACUAAACAGCAAUCAGCUACCAACAUCCAGCACAUACCCUGAAACACCUGAGGAGGCCUCGCCUGUUACGGAGAAGCCAAAAGGUAACUUUAAGAAGUACAGUGGGGUGCACUUAAAACAAUUUCAGUGAUGUGUCGUCAGAAUUGUUCCAGGGAUUAUCAAGUGUUAGUUGAUAUCACGAGAAAAUCACAGAACCUCAUACACACACACACAGACACAGACACAGACACAGACACAGACACAGACACAGACACACACAUUCAUUUCCACUGAAAUGCCUCCUUUAGAUCCCACCAGAGUCAUCAUGAGAGUGAGAGGCUUCCUGCACACAAACACGGGAGAGGAGGCAGUACUGGAGGCCUUAAGGAAAGUAAGUUAAAUGCCAUGCUUUAACAGUGGAUCACUUCAGUCAUUAUAAAAGACUAGACUAUAUUACCUUUUAACAUUUACAAAUAGAUUAAUAUCCAUUAUGAAAAAGGGACACACCAAAGUCAUUAUCUCCAAGAACACAAAUGUGAUGUAAGAUGUCUAGAAAUAUGUACGAGUAAACUAAAUAUCACGGGCAGA